rnacentral:rRNA from 1 species
AUGAAGGUUGGACGAGGGAUGAGCUGUCUCCUUUACGUAAUUUGAAUUUACCUUUUGAGUGAAAAGGCUCAAAUUAUUUAGUGGGACGAUAAGACCCUAUAAAACUUUAUAUAAGUUUAAUUUGGCUUACAAUUUGAGUGAAAAGUAGCUUUAUUAGGCUUAUAUUUCGUUGGGGAGAUGUAGAUAUAAUGUGUAACUGUCUGUUUAAUUUAAUAAUUAUAAUUAGUGUGUGAUCCUUCUUUGUGGAUUAAAAGUAUAAGUUACUUUAGGGAUAACAGCGUGAUUUUCUUUGAGAGUUCUUAUCGACAAGAGUAGUUGCGACCUCGAUGUUGAAUUAAAAUUUCAGUUAGGUGUAGCCGUCUAGCUGGUAGGUCUGUUCGACCUUUAAAAUUUUACAUGAUUUGAGUUCAAACCGGUGUGAGCCAGGUUGGUUUCUAUCUAAA